GGCGAACGCUGGCGGCAGGCCUAACACAUGCAAGUCGAACGAACCUUUCGGGGUUAGUGGCGGACGGGUGGGUAACACGUGGGCACGUGCCUUUAGGUUCGGAAUCACUCAGGGAAACUUGUGCUAAUACCGAAUGUGCCCUUCGGGGGCAAGAUUUAUCGCCUUUAGAGCGGCCCGCGUCUGGUUAGCUAGUUGGUUGAGGUAGUGGCGCACCAAGGCGACGUUCAGUAGCUGGUCGGAGAGGAUGAUCAGCCACAUUGGGACUGAGACACGGCCCAAACGCCUACGGGAGGCAGCAGUGGGGAAUCUUGCGCAAUGGGCGAGAGCCGGACGCAGCCAUGCCGGGUGAAUGAUGAAGGUCUUAGGAUUGUAAAAUUCUUUCACCGGGGACGAGAAUGACGGUACCCGGAGAAGAAGCCCCGGCUAACUACGUG
rnacentral:rRNA from 1 species